GAUGAAGAACGUAGCGAAAUGCGAUACGUAAUGUGAAUUGCAGAAUUCAGUGAAUCAUCGAAUCUUUGAACGCAUAUUGCGCUCUCUGGUAUUCCGGAGAGCAUGCUUGUUUGAGUAUCAGUAAACACCUCAACUCCCUUUUCUUUUUUGAAAUGGGAGCUGGACUUGAGUGAUCCCAACACUUUUCUCACUGGAAAGUGGCGGGUCACUUGAAAUGCAGGUGCAGCUGGACUUUUCUCUGAGCUAUAAGCAUAUCUAUUUAGUCUGCCUAAAAAACAGAUUAUUACCUUUGCUGCAGCUAACAUAAAGGAGAUGAGUUCUUGUGCUGACUGAUGCAGGAUUCACAGAGACAGCUUUGCGGCUGACUUUGUAAACUCGAGCUCAAAUCAAGUAAGACUACCCGCUGAACUUAAGCAUAUCAAUAAGCGGAGGA
rnacentral:misc_RNA from 1 species